CAGCACAUAAUAUACAACAACGAUGUUGAUCCUUUUUUUGGACCACACGUAGCUAUUGUGUAACAUUUGCGAAUUUGGAUACGUGUAUUAGGCCUGGGCAAAAUAUUCGUUCAAUCCGCUUCGACACGCUAUUCGAUUUGAUUUAAUUCGAAAAAUCCGAAUAUCCGUAAGAUUUUGGAGCAAAGCAAAUAGGAAAAUGUAGUACAACGCUUAAGAACUAAAACUCAGGCCACCAAUUUUUGAACUUUGAGACACGAAGAGUAUUGUAUUGUUGCAGGAAAAAGGAAUCAGAAAAAAU
rnacentral:sRNA from 1 species